rnacentral:piRNA from 1 species
UGAGCAAUAAAUGUCUUGCUUUUUGGUC